UACCAGCACCCCGAGUGGUCGGGACGAUUAUUGGGCCUUAAAGCAUCCGUAGCCGGUUCUACAAGUCUUCCGUUAAAUCCACCUGCUUAACAGAUGGGCUGCGGAGGAUACUAUAGAGCUAGGAGGCGGGAGAGGCAAGCGGUACUUAGUGGGUAGGGGUAAAAUCCGUUGAUCCAUUUGAAGACCACCAGUGGCGAAGGCGGCUUGCCAGAA
rnacentral:rRNA from 1 species